AGCUUCAGUAGCGUAUAUUAAAGUUGUUGCAUUUAAAAAGCUCGUAGUUGGUGGUUCGCUACUGCCUAGUGUUCGCUUUGCGUGCGUGGGUGUGAGUUGAUACUUGGCUCGUUUUACGAGCUAUAAACACUGUGAGUAAAUUAGAGGGAUCCAAACAGGCUUGGCCGGAAUGUUUCAGCAUGGUAUGGGUUCUCGACUACUUCAGCUUUUGGCUUCGCUAAUGUUGCUCGACUACUUCAGCUUUUGGCUUCGCUAAUGUUGCUGAAGGAGUAAAGGUUAAUAGGGAUGGAUGAUGGGAUUUGUAUUGAGUUGCUAGAGGUGAAAUUCUUGGACCAACUCAAGACAUCCAGAAGCGAAAGCUCUUCUCACAAAUGCUCCUA
rnacentral:rRNA from 1 species